GAACGCUGGCGGCAGGCUUAACACAUGCAAGUCGAACGAUGAAGUCUAGCUUGCUAGACGGAUUAGUGGCGAACGGGUGAGUAAUGCUUAGGAAUCUGCCUAUUAGUGGGGGAUAACGUAGGGAAACUUACGCUAAUACCGCAUACGACCUACGGGUGAAAGGGGGCGUUUAGCUCUCGCUAAUAGAUGAGCCUAAGUCGGAUUAGCUAGUUGGUGGGGUAAAGGCCUACCAAGGCGACGAUCUGUAGCUGGUCUGAGAGGAUGAUCAGCCACACUGGGACUGAGACACGGCCCAGACUCCUACGGGAGGCAGCAGUGGGGAAUAUUGGACAAUGGGCGAAAGCCUGAUCCAGCCAUGCCGCGUGUGUGAAGAAGGCCUUUUGGUUGUAAAGCACUUUAAGUGGGGAGGAAAAGCUUGUGGUUAAUACCCAUAAGCCCUGACGUUACCCACAGAAUAAGCACCGGCUAACUCUGUGCCAGCAGCCGCGGUAAUACAGAGGGUGCAAGCGUUAAUCGGAAUUACUGGGCGUAAAGCGCGCGUAGGUGGUUAUUUAAGUCAGAUGUGAAAGCCCCGGGCUUAACCUGGGAACUGCAUCUGAUACUGGAUAACUAGAGUAGGUGAGAGGGGAGUAGAAUUCCAGGUGUAGCGGUGAAAUGCGUAGAGAUCUGGAGGAAUACCGAUGGCGAAGGCAGCUCCCUGGCAUCAUACUGACACUGAGGUGCGAAAGCGUGGGUAGCAAACAGGAUUAGAUACCCUGGUAGUCCACGCCGUAAACGAUGUCUACCAGUCGUUGGGUCUUUUAAAGAUUUAGUGACGCAGUUAACGCAAUAAGUAGACCGCCUGGGGAGUACGGCCGCAAGGGUUA
rnacentral:rRNA from 1 species